UACGAAGGGGGCUAGCGUUGUUCGGAAUUACUGGGCGUAAAGGGCGCGCAGGCGGUCCCUUAAGUCAGGGGUGAAAUCCUGGAGCUCAACUCCAGAACUGCCUUUGAUACUGAAGAUCUUGAGUCCGGGAGAGGUGAGUGGAACUGCGAGUGUAGAGGUGAAAUUCGUAGAUAUUCGCAAGAACACCAGUGGCGAAGGCGGCUCACUGGCCCGAUACUGACGCUGAGGCACGAAAGCGUGGGGAGCAAACAGG
rnacentral:rRNA from 1 species